UACGAAGGGGGCUAGCGUUGCUCGGAAUCACUGGGCGUAAAGGGCGCGUAGGCGGCGUUUUAAGUCGGGGUGAAAGCCUGUGGCUCAACCACAGAAUGGCCUCGAUACUGGGACGCUUGAGUAUGGUAGAGGUUGGUGGAACUGCGAGUGUAGAGGUGAAAUUCGUAGAUAUUCGCAAGAACACCGGUGGCGAAGGCGGCCAAACUGGACCAUUAC
rnacentral:rRNA from 1 species